rnacentral:rRNA from 1 species
UACGUAGGCAGCGAGCGUUGUUCGGAAUUACUGGGCGUAAAGAGUGUGUAGACGGUGCUCUAAGUUCGGUGUGAAAUCUCCUGGCUCAACUGGGAGGGUGCGCCGGAAACUGGAGUGCUUGAGCGUGGGAGAGGAAAGCGGAAUUCCUGGUGUAGCGGUGAAAUGCGUAGAUAUCAGGAGGAACACCUGGUGGUGUAGACGGCUUUCUGGACCAUAGCUGGACGGCUGAGACACGAAAGCGUUGGGUAGCAAACAGG